UACGUAGGGUGCAAGCGUUGUCCGGAAUUAUUGGGCGUAAAGAGCUCGUAGGCGGUCUGUCGCGUCGGCUGUGAAAACUCGGGGCUCAACUCCGAGCUUGCAGUCGAUACGGGCAGGCUAGAGUUCGGCAGGGGAGACUGGAAUUCCUGGUGGUAGCGGUGAAAUGCGCAGAUAUCAGGAGGAACACCAGUGGCGAAGGCGGCUCACUGGACUGGUAUUGACGCUGAGGUGCGAAAGCGUGGGGAGCAAACAGG
rnacentral:rRNA from 1 species